GACGAACGCUGGCGGCGUGCUUAACACAUGCAAGUCGAACGGAAAGGCCCUGCUUUUGUGGGGUGCUCGAGUGGCGAACGGGUGAGUAACACGUGAGUAACCUGCCCUUGACUUUGGGAUAACGUCAGGAAACUGGGGCUAAUACCGGAUAGGAGCUCCUGCUGCAUGGUGGGGGGUGGAAAGUUUCGGCGGUUGGGGAUGGACUCGCGGCUUAUCAGCUUGUUGGUGGGGUAGUGGCUUACCAAGGCUUUGACGGGUAGCCGGCCUGAGAGGGUGACCGGCCACAUUGGGACUGAGAUACGGCCCAGACUACUACGGGAGGCAGCAGUGGGGAAUAUUGCACAAUGGGCGGAAGCCUGAUGCAGCAACGCCGCGUGCGGGAUGACGGCCUUCGGGUUGUAAACCGCUUUCGCCUGUGACGAAGCGUGAGUGACGGUAAUGGGUAAAGAAGCACCGGCUAACUACGUG
rnacentral:rRNA from 1 species